GGUGCCGCUGCCUCGGCACGAGUGGCCCAAGUGGCUUUGGGGUCCCUGAAACCCGACCUGACCCCCCCCCACGGCGGUGGGGGGGCCCCGCUCCCGGUCCCUGCGCUGAGCUGGAGCGAUGUGGGGCUGAGCUCCAUGCGCGCUGGGUGUCUCCGGGAGCUCGGGGGCUCCGGGGGGGGGUCACGACGUUCCUGGAGCUUUUGGGGCUCGUCCUGGAAACCAUCGAGCGCUUCGGGGGGGAGGGGCCAGACCCUCCCCCACCCUCCCCCCCCCCAAAUAAAGGUGCUGGUUUGGGGUGAAA